ACAAUCGUGGGUUAAAAUUUACACAAUCCCCGAUCGGAAAUGACGUAGUUUGCGCAUUCAACUAUAAAUCCAUUGAACAGCGGUGCUUCAUGAGUCAACCGAUGACCUGUUUUUGGGGUGUGAUCGGGGAUAGUAAACUCCUUCCCAAUCGUGCAGAAUUUCUACACUCAACAUAUAUCAUGGAUAUAAUUCAAGCAAUUUUCUUCAUAUUUUUAACAGGUUCUGUAGCGGCCGCAACGGUAUCUGAUUGUCCAAAUGGAACAGCCUACAGGGAUACUGGAACAGACAGCUGUGUGUCAUGCGAUGUCGUGUGCUUACAAUCGAGGGAGAGCUGCAAUGGUUAUGAGAACUGUAGAUAUUGGGGAAAAACAACUCAAAUGCCCAAUUCAGACGGGAAAACAAACACAACGAUGCAGUCAUCUACCGUGGUUACAUGCGAAGUCAGGAAGGAUGAUAUCCAUAGCCCAUUGCUUAUCGCCAUUCUAGUGAUCGUAUUGUUUAUUUUUACAUUUUUGAUUGUAUCAUCAUGCGUUCUAUGGCACAAAAAAAAAGAAAUACUACAGUACUGCGGCAACCAAAUGAACCCAGGGGUUGACAACGAACGGGAAGCCUUGGCCACUACCUCUACAUGAACUACAUAAUGCUGUAGAACAGAAAAAUGUGGCCUGCAUAAUAUAUUUUCUCGUAGGUCAUGCUCGCAAAAAUAUUCAGCCACAAAAAUCUCUUAUUUUUUAGCGAGCACUUAAAUCACACUUACAGUCACCAGCCAAAUUUCAUACCUCUUGAAUGAUGUCCUCAUGGCCAAAAAGAUAUUGCACACCUUAUUGUACUCUUCGGCAUAAUUAAUCAACAGAUUUGUUGACAUGGAAUUGAUUAUACUGUUAAUAUCUGCAUAAUAUACACUAUAAGAGCUCUCUGCUCAAAAUAGAAAUUUUUUGGGAAAUCUUAAGGUAUUCAUAUAACAAGGUGCUUUUAUAUGUUAUUUAAAUGAAGUUUUCACUAGGCUUAUUGAAUGUAUGCAUAUUUUAACAUGUAUUAAAGCGCUUAGAAGUCAUUAUUUUAUGAUAAUAAUAAUAAAUAUUAGGUAUUAAUACGUAGUCCUAUCAAUCACUGAACAUUAUAAAACAAGGAAGGUCACUGCUUAGUUCCCACCUGGUCAAGUUCAAGUGAACGCCUUCUGGUUGCUCCUUGAAAUCCCUGAUUGAUUUCUGUGGAGACCUGGGUCAUAAUAUGGCACCCUAAAAGCACUUCCGGCAGGGAAACCUGGAAAAAUGCUAUAUGAGAAUUCAAUAUUAUCAUCAUUAUUAUAGUGCAAGCAAGUAAACCUGGAAAAAUGCUAUAUGAGAAUUCAAUAUUAUCAUCAUUAUUAUAAUGUAACCAUCUUUGCUAGAUCAUAAUAAAACGAAAUCAUUUUGA